rnacentral:rRNA from 1 species
GUCCACGCCCUAAACGAUGUCUACUAGUUGUCGGGUUUUAAUUAACUUGGUAACGCAGCUAACGCGUGAAGUAGACCGCCUGGGGAGUACGGUCGCAAGAUUAAAACUCAAAGGAAUUGACGGGGACCCGCACAAGCGGUGGAUGAUGUGGAUUAAUUCGAUGCAACGCGAAAACCUUACCUACCCUUGACAUGUCAGGAAGGCCGGAGAGAUUUGGCUGUGCCCGAAAGGGAACCUGAACACAGGUGCUGCAUGGCUGUCGU